rnacentral:rRNA from 1 species
AGGACGAACGCUGGCGGCGUGCUUAACACAUGCAAGUCGAGCGGAAAGGCCUUUCGGGGUACUCGAGCGGCGAACGGGUGAGUAACACGUGAGUAAUCUGCCCAUCGCUUCAGGAUAGCCAUCGGAAACGGUGAUUAAUACUGGAUAUGACAUUCCUUCGCAUGUUGGGGUGUGGAAAGUUUUUUCGGCGGUGGAUGUGCUCGCGGCCUAUCAGCUUGUUGGUGGGGUAAUGGCCUACCAAGGCUUUGACGGGUAGCCGGCUGAGAGGGUGACCGGCACACUGGGACUGAGACACGGCCCAGACUCCUACGGGAGCAGCAGGUGGGGAAUAUUGGACAAGUGGGCGGAAGCCUGAUCCCAGCCAACGCCGCGUGAGGAUGGACCGGCCGUUCGGGUUCGUAAACCGUUC